rnacentral:lncRNA from 1 species
CUUGCCACAUCGAUGAUAAGGGACCAUUACAUGCCUAGGUACAUUGAGACGAUGGAGAUGCUCAUCGACAAGCUUGCGGAGAACGACGAGCCUCCCAGUGACACCAACGACGUCCGGUUGGAAUAACUUUAAAACAAAGUACUCCCUCCGUCCCAAAAUUCUUGUCUUAGAUUUGUUUAGAUGUGAAUGUAUCUAGUCAAGUUUUAGUAUUUAGAUAUAUCCAUUUCUAGACAGAGCUAAGACAAGAAUUUUGAGACGGAGGGAGUACUACACUAGCCAUGCCGCGCGCAGCGGCACGACACGCCUUCUGAGAUAUUAUGUGAGAAAUCAUGUAUGCG